AUAGAAAAUUUAAAUAUCUUAAAAUUCUAAAGGUCCUGAGUCUGAAUGGUUUCUCACUGAGCUAAUAACAUAAUGAUAACAGGACUCUUUUCUUGCCUUGCUAGGGUUUUAUGGUGUGCCUACACUCAACGUAGGAGACCCCUCCCUGUUUUCCAGUCCAGCGAUUGCUUUGUCUCUCAUCAUUUUGACCCUCUCUCCUUUGUCUCAGCUUCUUACGUAUGGACACCCUUGUGACUGUUCCCAGUCUCAUGCUGCAAAUGUUUGCAUAGAUGUGCACAAAACUGAGUGGGUAUGCUUUGGAAAGGUCUGAUUCAGGACUUGGCAGUAUUCUAAAGAUCUCUUCAGAGAACGUUGGAAAACCUACAGCAAGCAAGUAGACAUCACACAGGAACUGAAAGUGGGGUUCACAGAGGUGUUUGGACAUCAUGCAGCGGAAGCCUGUCUCACACAGGAAUAGGCCAUAGAUGGGAACAAUGAGUCUCUGUUUUCAAACAAGUCACCCAAAUGAAGAUGGCAAACGAAGACCAAAGAAGCUGGGGAACCAGCUCGAUGGAGGCCUGUGUGAAGAAAGACUUGGUUUCUGAUGUUAAAAGUGGAUUUUUUGACAAAGUUGAAGGCAAAGAGUGUAACUAGGAAAAGAGAGAAAGCAUCAAAAAGUACUCUAUCUUUUAUUUAAAGCCUGGUAUGGAAAGAGAAGAUUGCCCACGUACCCAUGGCCCACUUUGAUCUGAAGAAACAAUGAAGUUGAAUAUAAAUCGCAGUCUGAUCUGUUUCGAGUUCUCCGGUCUAUUCUGCCAUCCCAGUGCCCUUUCAUCAGGUUUGAAGAAGCUAUUGGAACCAACGUCUUCAGGACUCCAAAUUAGAAUGAAAAUCAGCAGCUUUUCCAGAAUCCUCCAGGACUCCUAGUACCAGAUUGGGAUUGCUGAAACAUCCAGCUUCGUAGACUGAAUCAUGUUCUCAACCUUUCUAUCCUCAGACAGUCAUUUUUGGUCUCCUCAGAGCACAGCCUGUAAGCCAGUCUAAUGAAUUCCAAGGAACUCCUCACCAGCUCCUGCAACCUAGUCUUUGGACUUAUCAGCCUUUAGGAUUGUGAGGAAAUACGUUCUUUAUAAGCUACCAGUUUCAGAGAUGUUGUCAGAGCAAUACAUAGCAGGAAAAGAUGAUCACUCAGGUGAUUAUGUGGAGAAUAUAAAUUUAAAAAUACAUAUUUAUUUUAUGACUAUGACUGCUUUGCCUGUGUGCACAUGUGUGCACCAUACACAUACCUGGUGUCUUUUUAAGUCAGAAGAGGCAUUGAAUCCCAUAAUGCUGAAAUUAUGAAUGGGCCACCAUGCAAAUGCUGGAAACCAAAUCAGGGUCCUGUGCAAGAGCAACAGGUGUUCUUAACUGCUGACCCAUCUCUCCAGACUCUAGAGAGACACUCUUUAUAUGUUUAUAUGCUCAAAGAAUAGAAGGCCCUGGUCAUAAAAGGCAGAUAACCAUUUCCGUAUACACAAAGGACAGACCCAUCUCACAUCACACACCAAACCCUAUAUCUCCUUCCAGAACUUAUUAAGGCAAACUAGACACCAAUUUCAGUCUAUACACAAGCACAGCACUGUGGUGGCUUGAAUAGGAAUGUCCUUCACGGGCUCAUGUAUUUAAAUGUGUGGUCAUUAGAGAGUGGUGCUAUUUGAAAGGACUGGGAGGUACUCUGUUGGAGUAAUGUGUCCCUUGGGAGUGGGCUUUGGGUUUCUGAAGCCCAAACCAGGCCCAGUGGCUCUCUUUCUCCCUUCCUGGAGCUCUGGAUGUAGCGCUUUCAACUUUUCUAGCACCAUGUCUGUCUGUAUACCACCAUGCUUCCUGCCGUGUGGAUUACAGGCUAAACUUCUGAAACUAAGCAAGCCCCAAUAAAAUCUUUUGCUUUUGAA